UACGACGGGUGCAAGCGUUAAUCGGAAUUACUGGGCGUAAAGGGUGCGUAGGCGGUUCGUUAAGUCUGUCGUGAAAUCCCCGGGCUCAACCUGGGAAUGGCGAUGGAUACUGGCGAGCUAGAGUGUGUCAGAGGAUGGUGGAAUUCCCGGUGUAGCGGUGAAAUGCGUAGAGAUCGGGAGGAACAUCAGUGGCGAAGGCGGCCAUCUGGGACAACACUGACGCUGAAGCACGAAAGCGUGGGGAGCAAACAGG
rnacentral:rRNA from 1 species